rnacentral:rRNA from 1 species
AUUGAACGCUGGCGGCAGGCCUAACACAUGCAAGUCGAGCGAGCGGCGGACGGGUGAGUAAUGUAUGGGGCUCUGCCCUAUCGAGGGGGAUAACUACUGGAAACGGUGGCUAAUACCGCAUACUAUACUCUGAACCCUUGUGGGCGUGGCCAGUAGGUGGGGUAACGGCUCACCUAGGCCACGAUCCCUAGCUGGUCUGAGAGGAUGAUCGGCCACACGGGGACUGAGACACGGCCCAGACUCCGACGUGAGGCAGCAGUGGGGAAUAUUGCGCAAUGGGCGCAAGCCUGAUGCAGCCAUGCCGCGUGUAUGAAGAAGGCCUUCGGGUUGUAAAGUACUUUCAGUCGGGAGGCGGUACCGACAGAAGAAGCAACGGCUAACUCCGUGCCAGCCGCCGCGGUAAUAC